GAGAACCUGUAUCGGGAUGGGCUGAUGAGUGACUGUGUCAGGAUGUUCAUCGCCACGUUCCACUUUCCUCACCCCAAAUAUGUGGACCUGUACAAGGAGCAGCUGAUGGGCCAGAUCCGGGAGACGCAGCAGCUCUGCCACCAGACCCUGUUCAUCUUCGAUGAAGCGGAGAAGCUGCACCCAGGGCUGCUGGAGGUCCUUGGGCCACACUUAGAACACCGGGCCCCUGAGGGCCACAGGGCUGAGUCUCCAUGGACUAUCUUUCUGUUUCUCAGGUGGGUUCUGGGGAACAGUAGUCAGGAGGGCUGGGGGAGGGGAAGAUACUAGCUGGCAGUGGAGGCUUCCACAUGCCCUCAGGUUCAGAACCUUUCCUCAAGAAAAAACAGCACAAACUCUGGUACAGAAAGCAGCAGCCAGCUGUGGUAGCUCACGCCUGUAAUCCCAGCACUUUGGGAGGCCAAGGCGGCCGGGUCCCUUGAGUCCAGGAGUUCAAGACCAGCCUGGGCAACAUAGCGAAACCCCAUCUCUACAAAAAAUACAAAAAUUAGCUGGGCAUGGUGACGUGUGCCUGUGGUCCCAGCUACUUGGGAGGCUGAGGUGGGAGAAUCGCUUGAACCCAGGAGGUGGGGGUUGCAAUGAGCUGAGAUCAGGCCACUGCACUCCAAUCUGGGUGACGGGUUUU
rnacentral:sRNA from 1 species